GAGUUCUACCUACCACACUAAUACAUUUUGGUUUUGCUUUUAAGGAGGAUGGGGUGAGAGGCUGGAGGGGAUGGAGAAGCCUUUUGUUUUCUCAAGAAAUCCAUUUGUGUUGUGGAAAUACCACAAAAAAAGAAGGCUGUGGCACAAGGGGCAUGGUCUAAAAUUUAAGAUAGCGUGAAAAACACAAACAGAAAAGCAGAACAAAGAGGGGUGGCAACAUCAAGGGUUUUGUUGCUUCAGACUGGUUCCUAAAAUGAGAGAUCAACUACAAACCCAAGCCUGAAGCAGAGGAAUGAAAACGGGGCAGUUACCACAUGUGGCAGCACCACCACAGAAGAAAUGAAACUCUUCAUGAGUGAGUCUCAGAACGUCUUUUCCACUUUGUCCUGACGUUCACAGAGGUUGCCUGCUACCCUGAACUUGCAAUCAGCAAGCAUUUCAGAAGCCCUUCUAGCCCCUUGCCCUUCCAGACAAAGAAGAGAAGCACAGACAGUUUAAAUGAUCUGCCUAAAUUCACCAGCUAAUUAGUGGCACAGCCAAGAUCUGAAGUCAGGCAGUCUGGCUGCAGGCCCCAACCAAGCUGAAAUGCCUCCAAAAGUCUAGGAAGAAAAUGUGGUACGCCCAGACCUUGAGGAUACUGCGGAAGUUUCCCCCUCCUGGCAAGCAGUCCCACACCACCAGGCUAGUGUUCUUUAGAAUGACAAUAAAUGCAGUAUUUAAAGAAAUGAGAUACAAGUGAAAUGCUACAGUUAGAAAUUCUUUGACUAACAAUAUGAGAGAAGGAACAUUUGAAGGUCAUAGAUUAAUUGUCCAUGGAUAACAUCAGUGGAAGUUUCAAAAUAGACAAAGGGCUCUUAUGCUUCAAACUCGAUGAAAAACUCUGUCUUUUCAAGGUGAAUCUAGUUCCUCUGCAUUUUGUGAAAACUUUUUGUGCUCCUAAAGUAAGUCUUCGUUCCUGAAAAUUUCUUAAAACUUCAAACUACUGGGGGGCCGGCCUGGUGGCACAGUGGUUAAGUUCAUAGUCUCCACUUCAGCUGCCCGGGGUUCACAGUUCAGAUCCCAGGCGUGGACAUAGCACCGCUCAUCAAGCCAUGCUGUGGCAGCAUCCCACAUAAAAUAGAGGACGAUUGGCACGGACGUUAGCUCAGCAAUAAUGUUCCUCAAACAAAAAGAGGAAGAUUGGCAACAGAUGUUAGCUCAGGGCCAAUCUUCCUCACACACACACACAUACACACACAAACACAUAAAAUUCAAACAACUGAAAAAGUAAAAUAGGGAGCAUUCAAAAGUGGAAAGACUUAACUUGAUGUGAAAACAUAGAAAAUGUCACCAUUAAUUAGCAAAAUAAAAAUCUUACCUUGGAAAAACAAACAUAUCCAUAUUACGAAAGAUAG
ensembl:lncRNA